rnacentral:rRNA from 1 species
GCACCCGCACAAGCGGUGGAGCAUGCUGUUUAAUUCGAAGAUACGCGAAGAACCUUACCUAGACUUGACAUCCCUGGCAAAGUCAUAGAAAUAUGAUGGAGGUUACCCAGGUGACAGGUGGUGCAUGGUUGUCGUCAGCUCGUGUCGUGAGAUGUUCGGUUAAGUCCGCUAACGAGCGCAACCCUUGUCCUUAGUUGCUAACAUUAAGUUGAGAACCCUAAGGAUACUGCCGAUGACAAAUCGGAGGAAGAUGGGGAUGACGUCAAAUCAUCAUGCCCCUUACGUCUAGGGCUACAGGCGUGCUAUAAUGGCCAAUAUAAAGAGAAGCAAUAUCGCGAGAUGGAGCAAAACUCCAAAGUUGGUCUCAGUUCGGAUUGAAGUCUGCAACUCGACUUCAUGAAGUUAGAAUCGCUAGUAAUCCUGAAUCAGAAUGUCAGGGUGAAUACGUUCCCGGGUGUU